UCUGGGGCACCAGCAGCAUCCACUCAGCCCAUUCCUGCCUCCCGUUUGUGUCAUUCCCUGGUGCCCUGAAUGAGAUCAACCUCUCACUGUACUGUGAAACAAGAAGUCAUCUGCUCAAGGAACACGGCAGCCUCUGCAGCAAGCUCCUCUCUGUGUGACCUGGUGCUGUAUCACUCCACACUUUCCUGUAGGAUCGAUAGUGUAAUCCUGAGUUGCAAGAAGUCUUCCUUUGUGUCCUCCAUCCUACGGCUGCUCUGUGCUUCCCACUCACCGGGGUGCUCCCAGGAGGCAGCGGAGCCUGCUCCACCAGGCUAGCCGCGAAAACCCACCCCAUUCCUGACCUAAUGCGAACUCCUGCUUCAACCCAACCGGGGGCAUGGCCAAGGGCAGACCUCUUGGCACUGUUCUUCUGCAAUCCGUGCAGCCACAUCACUAACAGCUCUU